GGAACCUUAUCGGAGGGAAAGAUACCCUUGCCUGGGAGGUAAGGGUAUCGGAGUUGAGCCCGGGCCCCGCAGGGCCACCGUCACCUGAUAUCGAUUUAUAUCUUCUUCUUCUCUACAAGAGAUGUAUUCCCUAGUUAUGAGAGAUAGAGUUUCCUCUCGGGGAGGGAACUCUAUCGGAUAGAUAUUCCUAGUUAUAAUUCCUAAUCUAGGUAUAACACUAUAGAGGAGAUAUACUUCCCUCUGGGAGAGGGGAGUAUAUCGAUAGGUAUAGAGAGGGAGAGUUUCCUUUCGGGAAGGGAACUCGACCGGAGCCCUAGUAGGGGCAUAUGGUAUGACACAAACAAGGGUAUUUUUCUUAAGAGAUUUGCCCCAAAACGCGAUUUUGGGGCUUUCAGGUGUCAUACCAUUAGGGCAUUAACAAAGAUGCGCUACAGCGCAUCUUUGUUAAUAAACUUAUUGGCUUGAUUUCUUCUUCGAAGAAAUGCCUGCGCGUACACGUACGUACACGCGUACGUGUACCUGUGUGCGCGUAUGAUCUAUAUACGCGCACCCGUGCGUGCGAUCUAUAGACGCACGCGUACGCCUGCGCGCGUUACUACUUACGCACGCGCGCGCUAGACUCACUCCGUUCGCUCUAGUCUCCCUACGGUCGCCUAGAGCUCACUCCGUUCGUCUUCACUCCGCUACGCUUCGGUAUAGAUAACCUUCCCUGACAGGAAAGAACAUCUCUACCUACGCUACGCUUAGGAAGGGAGUGCGGGGCGCCGCUCCCUUCCGUCAAUAGAGCUUAUUUUUCAAAAAGAAUCGAAUCGAUUUUCCUGCCAGGGAAGUCGAUUAGAGUCUUUUCAAAGUCAAGGUUUAGGGUUGAUGGAGUUUGACUGAACAUUUUGAUGAAUCCCGAAAGGCCGUAUCAAAUGACAUUAGUCUGAGUCCAUCUUCCCUUGCUAUUGACGUAUAGGUAUGCGUAUGCCUGUCUUUCGACACUUAUCCAAGAUUGGAGUAAGCAAUCAUAGCCCGUCCUAUGAUCAUGAUAUGUUUUUCUCGGGAUUUUAUUGUUUUUUUCAAUUGGUUAUUGCCACGGAGAUAUGGUUCCCUGGGAGGGAACCAUAUCGAUAGACAGAUAGAGUUUCCUUUCGGGAAGGGAACUCUAUCGGAACUGAGAUAGGCUUUCCUUGGAGGAGGGAAGCCUAUCGAAGCCGCCCCGCAGGGCCUCCGGAAAUAUAAAUAAUAUCCCCCUUUCUUGGUUUAUUUAUCUACCCUUGUAUCCCGAGAUGGAUAAAUUACCCAAUAUAGGUUAGGUAAGGAUAGAGCUAAAGAUUGAGUCUUGUAUUUCUAUUGAGAUAAGGUUUCCUCUCGGGGAGGGAACCUUAUCGGAGGGAAAGAUACCCUUGCCUGGGAGGUAAGGGUAUCGGAGUUGAGCCCGGGCCCCGCAGGGCCACCGUCACCUGAUAUCGAUUUAUAUCUUCUUCUUCUCUACAAGAGAUGUAUUCCCUAGUUAUGAGAGAUAGAGUUUCCUCUCGGGGAGGGAACUCUAUCGGAUAGAUAUUCCUAGUUAUAAUUCCUAAUCUAGGUAUAACACUAUAGAGGAGAUAUACUUCCCUCUGGGAGAGGGGAGUAUAUCGAUAGGUAUAGAGAGGGAGAGUUUCCUUUCGGGAAGGGAACUCGACCGGAGCCCUAGUAGGGGCAUAUGGUAUGACACAAACAAGGGUAUUUUUCUUAAGAGAUUUGCCCCAAAACGCGAUUUUGGGGCUUUCAGGUGUCAUACCAUUAGGGCAUUAACAAAGAUGCGCUACAGCGCAUCUUUGUUAAUAAACUUAUUGGCUUGAUUUCUUCUUCGAAGAAAUGCCUGCGCGUACACGUACGUACACGCGUACGUGUACCUGUGUGCGCGUAUGAUCUAUAUACGCGCACCCGUGCGUGCGAUCUAUAGACGCACGCGUACGCCUGCGCGCGUUACUACUUACGCACGCGCGCGCUAGACUCACUCCGUUCGCUCUAGUCUCCCUACGGUCGCCUAGAGCUCACUCCGUUCGUCUUCACUCCGCUACGCUUCGGUAUAGAUAACCUUCCCUGACAGGAAAGAAC
rnacentral:lncRNA from 1 species